rnacentral:rRNA from 1 species
UGGUGGGGUGAUUUGUCAGUUUGAGGAACACUGCGUGAUCGCGUCAAAGCUUCUUAGAGGGACUUUCUGUAUCUAGCACAAGGAAGUUUGAGGCAAUAACA